CUGGCGGUAUGCUUAACACAUGCAAGUCGGACGGCAGCGGGCCCUUCGGGGCGCCGGCGAGUGGCGGACGGGUGAGUAACGCGUAGGAAUCUGCCCUGUAGUGGGGGACAACGUGGGGAAACCCACGCUAAUACCGCAUACGCUCCCUGUUUUAGGUGAUGGGGAGGAAAGCGGGGGACUUUCGGGCCUCGCGCUAUAGGAUGAGCCUGCGUUGGAUUAGCUGGUUGGUGGGGUAAAGGCCCACCAAGGCGACGAUCCAUAGCUGGUCUGAGAGGACGAUCAGCCACACUGGGACUGAGACACGGCCCAGACUCCUACGGGAGGCAGCAGUGGGGAAUAUUGGACAAUGGGCGCAAGCCUGAUCCAGCAAUACCGCGUGUGUGAAGAAGGCCUGAGGGUUGUAAAGCACUUUCAAUUGGGAGGAAAAAGGCAAGCCCAAUACGCUUGCCCUUGACAUUACCUUUAGAAGAAGCACCGGCUAACUCCGUGCCAGCAGCCGCGGUAAUACGGAGGGUGCGAGCGUUAAUCGGAAUUACUGGGCGUAAAGCGUGCGUAGGCGGCCUGUUAAGUCAGAUGUGAAAGCCCUGGGCUCAACCUGGGAACGGCAUUUGAAACUGGCAGGCUAGAGUUGGGUAGAGGGGAGUGGAAUUCCGGGUGUAGCGGUGAAAUGCGUAGAUAUCCGGAGGAACACCAGUGGCGAAGGCGGCUCCCUGGACCCAAACUGACGCUGAGGUACGAAAGCGUGGGUAGCAAACAGGAUUAGAUACCCUGGUAGUCC
rnacentral:rRNA from 1 species